AUAUCAGUAAGCGGAGGAAAAGAAACUAACGAGGAUUCCCUCAGUAACGGCGAGUGAACGGGGAAGAGCCCAGCGCUAAAUCCUGUUGCUCUAACGGGUAACGGGAGGUGUAGCGUAUAGUAGGCGAAUUUCCUUGAUGGCUGUCGACUUAAAUUCUCCUUGACUGGGGUUCCAGAGAAGGUGAAAGGCCUGUUCAGUCGAUGGCCGUCUUGGAUUCCGUUCUACUUGGAGUCGGGUUGUUUGGGAACGCAGCCCAAAUUGGGUGGUAAAUUUCAUCUAAAGCUAAAUAUUGGCCAGAGACCGAUAGCGCACAAGUAGAGUGAUCGAAAGAUGAAAAGCACUUUGGAAAGAGAGUUAAACAGUACGUGAAAUUGUUGAAAGGGAAGCGCUUGCAACCAGACUUGCACGCAGUUAAUCAUCCGGGGUUCUCCUCGGUGCACUUGACUGCGUUCAGGCCAGCAUCGGUUCGGGCGGUGGGAUAAAGGCCUUGGGAAUGUAGCUUCUUUCGGGGAGUGUUAUAGCCCUCGGUGCAAUGCCACCUGUCUGGACCGAGGACCGCGCUUCGGCUAGGAUGCUGGCGUAAUGGUUGUAAGCGA
rnacentral:rRNA from 1 species